rnacentral:rRNA from 1 species
GAUGAACGCUGGCGGCGUGCCUAAUACAUGCAAGUAGAACGCUGAAGCUUGGUGCUUGCACCGAGCGGAUGAGUUGCGAACGGGUGAGUAACGCGUAGGUAACCUACCUCUUAGCGGGGGAUAACUAUUGGAAACGAUAGCCAAUACCGCAUAAAAGUCGACAUUGCAUGAUGUUGACUUGAAAGGUGCAACUGCAUCACUAAGAGAUGGACCUGCGUUGUAUUAGCUAGUUGGUGAGGUAACGGCUCACCAAGGCGACGAUACAUAGCCGACCUGAGAGGGUGAUCGGCCACACUGGGACUGAGACACGGCCCAGACUCCUACGGGAGGCAGCAGUAGGGAAUCUUCGGCAAUGGACGGAAGUCUGACCGAGCAACGCCGCGUGAGUGAAGAAGGUUUUCGGAUCGUAAAGCUCUGUUGUAAGAGAAGAACGAGUGUGAGAGUGGAAAGUUCACACUGUGACGGUAACUUACC